UGGGGAAUAUUGGACAAUGGGCGCAAGCCUGAUCCAGCCAUGCCGCGUGAGUGACGAAGGCCUUAGGGUUGUAAAGCUCUUUUGGCGGGGAAGAUAAUGACGGUACCCGCAGAAUAAGCUCCGGCUAACUUCGUGCCAGCAGCCGCGGUAAUACGUAGGGACCAAGCGUUGUUCGGAUUUACUGGGCGUAAAGGGCGCGUAGGCGGCAAUUCAAGUCAUCUGUGAAAUCUCCGGGCUUAACUCGGAACGGUCAGAUGAUACUGCUUUGCUAGAGUGCAGAAGGGGCAAUCGGAAUUCUUGGUGUAGCGGUGAAAUGCGUAGAUAUCAAGAGGAACACCUGAGGUGAAGACGGGUUGCUGGGCUGACACUGACGCUGAGGCGCGAAAGCCAGGGGAGCAAACGGGAUUAGAUACCCUCGUAGUCCCUGAGCGGGCUGGCAAGGCGCAU
rnacentral:rRNA from 1 species